UGAGGUAUAUUGGGCAAUGCCCGCAAGGGUGACCCAGCAACGCCGCGUGGAGGAUGAAUGUCGUAAGAUUGUAAACUCCUGUUAGAGGGGAAGAAUAGUACCGGUUGGACCGGUAUAUGACUGUACCCUCAGAGAAAGCCCCGGCUAACUACGUGCCAGCAGCCGCGGUAAUACGUAGGGGGCAAGCGUUGUCCGGAUUUACUGGGUGUAAAGGGCGCGCAGGCGGGAUAAAAAGUCAGUGGUGAAAUCCUACAGCUUAACUGUAGAACUGCCUUUGAUACUUUUAUUCUUGAGUUCGGGAGAGAGAGACGGAAUUCCAGGUGUAGUGGUGAAAUACGUAGAUAUCUGGAAGAACACCAGUUGCGAAGGCGGUCUCUUGGUCCGACACUGACGCUGAGGCGCGAAAGCGUGGGGAGCAAACA
rnacentral:rRNA from 1 species